rnacentral:rRNA from 1 species
GUCGGAGGAGGCAAGCGUUAUCCGGAAUUAUUGGGCGUAAAGGGUACGUAGGCUGCUGGUCAAGACUGGGGUCAAAGGACACAGCUCAACUGAGGGAAGGCCCUGGAAACUGACCGGCUAGAGUGAGGUAUGGGUUGCGGGAAUUCCCGGUGUAGCGGUGAAAUGCGUAGAGAUCGGGAAGAACACCUGAGGCGGAAGCGCGCAACUGGGCCUCAACUGACGCUGAGGUACUAAAGCUAGGGGAGCGAAUGGG